rnacentral:rRNA from 1 species
CUUUUGGGUGUGACUGCGUACCUUUUGUAUAAUGGGUCAGCGACUUAUAUUCUGUAGCAAGGUUAACCGAAUAGGGGAGCCGGAGGGAAACCGAGUCUUAAUUGGGCGUUAAGUUGCAGGGUAUAGACCCGAAACCCGGUGAUCUAGCCAUGGGCAGGUUGAAGGUUGGGUAACACUAACUGGAGGACCGAACCGACUAAUGUUGAAAAAUUAGCGGAUGACCUGUGGCUGGGGGUGAAAGGCCAAUCAAACCGGGAGAUAGCUGGUUCUCCCCGAAAGCUAUUUAGGUAGCGCCUCGUGAAUUCAUCUCCGGGGGUAGAGCACUGUUUCGGCUAGGGGGCCAUCCCGGCUUACCAACCCGAUGCAAACUGCGAAUACCGGAGAAUGUUAUCACGGGAGACACACGGCGGGUGCUAACGUCCGUCGUGAAGAGGGAAACAACCCAGACCGCCAGCUAAGGUCCCAAAGUCAUGGUUAAGUGGGAAACGAUGUGGGAAGGCCCAGACAGCCAGGAUGUUGGCUUAGAAGCAGCCAUCAUUUAAAGAAAGCGUAAUAGCUCACUGGUCGAGUCGGCCUGCGCGGAAGAUGUAACGGGGCUAAACCAUGCACCGAAGCUGCGGCAGCGACGCUGAUGCGUUGUUGGGUAGGGGAGCGUUCUGUAAGCCUGCGAAGGUGGCCUGUGAGGGUUGCUGGAGGUAUCAGAAGUGCGAAUGCUGACAUAAGUAACGAUAAAGCGGGUGAAAAGCCCGCUCGCCGGAAGACCAAGGGUUCCUGUCCAACGUUAAUCGGGGCAGGGUGAGUCGACCCCUAAGGCGAGGCCGAAAGGCGUAGUCGAUGGGAAACGGGUUAAUAUUCCCGUACUUGGUGUUACUGCGAAGGGGGGACGGAGAAGGCUAUGUUGGCCGGGCGACGGUUGUCCCGGUUUAAGCGUGUAGGUGUGUGUUCCAGGUAAAUCCGGUUCACUUUAACACUGAGGCGUGACGACGAGGCACUACGGUGCUGAAGCAACAAAUGCCCUGCUUCCAGGAAAAGCCUCUAAGCAUCAGGUAACAUCAAAUCGUACCCCAAACCGACACAGGUGGUCAGGUAGAGAAUACCAAGGCGCUUGAGAGAACUCGGGUGAAGGAACUAGGCAAAAUGGUGCCGUAACUUCGGGAGAAGGCACGCUGACACGUAGGUGAAGUGAUUUACUCACGGAGCUGAAGUCAGUCGAAGAUACCAGCUGGCUGCAACUGUUUAUUAAAAACACAGCACUGUGCAAACACGAAAGUGGACGUAUACGGUGUGACGCCUGCCCGGUGCCGGAAGGUUAAUUGAUGGGGUCAGCGCAAGCGAAGCUCCUGAUCGAAGCCCCGGUAAACGGCGGCCGUAACUAUAACGGUCCUAAGGUAGCGAAAUUCCUUGUCGGGUAAGUUCCGACCUGCACGAAUGGCGUAAUGAUGGCCAGGCUGUCUCCACCCGAGACUCAGUGAAAUUGAACUCGCUGUGAAGAUGCAGUGUACCCGCGGCAAGACGGAAAGACCCCGUGAACCUUUACUAUAGCUUGACACUGAACAUUGAGCCUUGAUGUGUAGGAUAGGUGGGAGGCUUUGAAGCGUGGACGCCAGUCUGCGUGGAGCCGACCUUGAAAUACCACCCUUUAAUGUUUGAUGUUCUAACGUGGACCCGUUACCCGGGUUGCGGACAGUGUCUGGUGGGUAGUUUGACUGGGGCGGUCUCCUCCUAAAGAGUAACGGAGGAGCACGAAGGUUGGCUAAUCCUGGUCGGACAUCAGGAGGUUAGUGCAAUGGCAUAAGCCAGCUUGACUGCGAGCGUGACGGCGCGAGCAGGUGCGAAAGCAGGUCAUAGUGAUCCGGUGGUUCUGAAUGGAAGGGCCAUCGCUCAACGGAUAAAAGGUACUCCGGGGAUAACAGGCUGAUACCGCCCAAGAGUUCAUAUCGACGGCGGUGUUUGGCACCUCGAUGUCGGCUCAUCACAUCCUGGGGCUGAAGUAGGUCCCAAGGGUAUGGCUGUUCGCCAUUUAAAGUGGUACGCGAGCUGGGUUUAGAACGUCGUGAGACAGUUCGGUCCCUAUCUGCCGUGGGCGCUGGAGAACUGAGGGGGGCUGCUCCUAGUACGAGAGGACCGGAGUGGACGCAUCACUGGUGUUCGGGUUGUCAUGCCAAUGGCACUGCCCGGUAGCUAAAUGCGGAAGAGAUAAGUGCUGAAAGCAUCUAAGCACGAAACUUGCCCCGA